rnacentral:rRNA from 1 species
CCUACGGGUGGCUGCAGUGGGGAAUAUUGCACAAUGGGCGCAAGCCUGAUGCAGCCAUGCCGCGUGUGUGAAGGAGGCCUUCGGGUUGUAAAGCACUUUCAGCGGGGAGGAAGGCGUUAAGGUUAAUAACCUUGGCGAUUGACGUUACCCGCAGAAGAAGCACCGGCUAACUCCGUGCCAGCAGCCGCGGUAAUACGGAGGGUGCAAGCGUUAAUCGGAAUUACUGGGCGUAAAGCGCACGCAGGCGGUCUGUCAAGUCGGAUGUGAAAUCCCCGGGCUCAACCUGGGAACUGCAUUCGAAACUGGCAGGCUAGAGUCUUGUAGAGGGGGGUAGAAUUCCAGGUGUAGCGGUGAAAUGCGUAGAGAUCUGGAGGAAUACCGGUGGCGAAGGCGGCCCCCUGGACAAAGACUGACGCUCAGGUGCGAAAGCGUGGGGAGCAAACAGGAUUAGAUACCCUAGUAGUC